UUAACGAUGAGAGUGUUUAUGAUUCAAGGGUCUGCAUUUGUUAUGUAAAUAUAACAUUAUACGAUUGAGAGUAUGAGAGAGAGAUAGACUCAGAGAGAGAGAGAGUGUGUGUGUGUAAUUACAGUGUACAUGUAAUUGUUAUUGAUUGCCUUGCUUCCAUGAACCAUAUAUAUAUAUUUCAAUAAUGCCACAUUGCACUAGAAAUAUUGCUGACAAAGAUGUUGAGAGAGAGAGAGAGAGAGAGAGAGAGAGAGAGAGAGAGAGAGAGAAUGAAAAGCCAUAACAAAUUUUAUAGUAAUAUGUCACUUCCCACUUAAUGAGUUGUUAUAGCUGUUAUCAUGGUAAUGUUUUGACCAUGUCUCAGAUACUGCAUGUGCCCAUAAAAAAGUGAAAUCUAGGACACACCCUUUUGUUUUGAUAAUGACAGCAUUUAGCUUUGUAAUGAUAGCUAGUGUAUCUUUUUUCUUCUAAUCUACAGAUUUACCUGCGGCUUCCAGAUGAUAUGAAGAUCGGGAAUAUAGAAAAUAAUGUCAAUUUGAUAUUGCUAAUGACCCAGUCAUGUCUGCUGAAUCCCAGAAGUUUCCAGACCAUGACAUUAAUGAAUAUUUCUUGAAUGGAAUGCAUGAGGAUUAGAAUGGAACCUUAUUCUGCCUUUUUACCAACUCACACCAUCUUUUCAAGAUUUAUGGAGCAAACCAAAGAAUUUGUUCUAUACACAUCAUUCAUGACAUUCUUAUUUAUGUUGCAUGACUUUAAAUGUUACUGGAUGAAUUGUGUUCACAUAAUGAAUACCAGCAAACUUUUUAUCGAGUGCACUUAAUUUGUAUUUUUCCUACCCAUCCAUCUAACAUAUGUUUUUAUAUAACAUAUUCAUAUAUAUGUUAUAUAACAUAUUCAUAUAUAUGUAACAUUUUUUGGAAACAGCUUUUGGAAACAAUUUUUUUUAAAGGGACUUGGACACGAUUUUAGAUCAAAAUUUUGUUUUCAAUUUCUUUAUGCAUAAAAUGAUUUACUUGCACAUUUUAAAUAAUUGACCAUAAUUUGAAUGUUAGAAGUCAAGUUAUAAGAGAGAUACAGGGUUAAGAAUUUAUUGUUAUGUAAAAAAAGCUCGAGUCUUAUGUUUGUUUACAAAUAAUAUAAAGUAUGAAAUUACCAAUUCUUUGAGAAAAGGAUUCAUAGAAAAGAAGGUAAACUGAUUCGAUGUGAUCAUAAAUAAUAUUAUUAAUAGAAAAAAGCAACAUUUGAAUGAAACUUACACCAAUAAAACACAUAUGUAAAUAAUAACCAAAUUCGCGCUUUGUUUACAAAACAAAGAAUAUUUAAUUCUUUAUUUUUCUUUUAACUCAGUAUUUGACUUUCAAAUUUUGACAAAGUAUUAAAAAUACCCAUAUCAACCAUUCUAAAUAUUGAAAAUGGAAAUAUAAAAUUUAGAAUUUUAAGCUCAAAGUCAAAUCGUGUCUAAGUCCCUUUAAUAUACUCUUUUGUAUACAAACAGAACAAAAAUACUUAGUUACAAUGGGAAACGGACAUAAUAUGUAUAAAAGUGUCUGAUAAAAGUAUAGGUCUUGUUCAUGAACAGAAGAAAUUGACAGAAAAAUAUUCAGUUUUAGCCAUGAAAUACAAAUAUUAAUAUUUUUUAAGAAUAUUAUUUAAUCUAAAUAGUUAUAAAAGUUUUUUUUCCCUUUAUUCCAAUGUUUGGAAACAAAUCCAAUAUAUAAUUAAAAUUGCUGUACAGUAUAUCCUAUUGAUUCCUAUAAUAUAUCACUUUAGUUUCUUGAACAGCAUGUUUAUUACUUUUUUUUCUUAAAAUGAUGUAUACAAGGUCAUUAAUUUAUUUUCAUUAUAUUCAACUGGAUACAAAUAGGCCUUCUGCAACCUAUUCAUUGUUUAAAUGGUAUGGAGUUUUAAUUAUCUUUCAUAUGAAAAAUGACAUCCAAAUCUUAAAUUGCUGCACAUUUUAUCCUAUCCAUCUAAUUCAUCACUUUAUUUAUGUUGAACUUCGUGUCUAUUAGUAUUAUGAUUUUUUUAGAAUGAUAUAUGCAAUUUCAUUAAUUUAUUUUUCAUUUUAAGAAAAUUCAUUUAAAAAAAGAUCUCUUACAACCUGGGUAUUUUUUUUCAGUUUACAUAACACAGUGUAUUAAUUGAAUGUAGUUGUGUAGAUUUAUACAUGUACCUACAAGCAAUAUACAUUUAAUAUUCACCAGGUACAUGUACCAGCCUACUAUAUUUGAUAAA